rnacentral:rRNA from 1 species
CAGGCCUAACACAUGCAAGUCGAACGAAGAGCGAUGGAAGCCUGCUUCUAUCAAUCUUAGUGGCGAACGGGUGAGUAACGCGUAAUCAACCUGCCCUUCAGAGGGGGACAACAGUUGGAAACGACUGCUAAUACCGCAUACGAUCCAACCUCGGCAUCGAGGAUGGAUGAAAGGUGGCCUCUAUUUAUAAGCUAUCACUGAAGGAGGGGAUUGCGUCUGAUUAGCUAGUUGGAGGGGUAACGGCCCACCAAGGCAAUGAUCAGUAGCCGGUCUGAGAGGAUGAACGGCCACAUUGGGACUGAGACACGGCCCAGACUCCUACGGGAGGCAGCAGUGGGGAAUCUUCCGCAAUGGACGAAAGUCUGACGGAGCAACGCCGCGUGAGUGAUGACGGCCUUCGGGUUGUAAAGCUCUGUUAAUCGGGACGAAAGGUCCUCUUGCGAAUAGUUAGAGGAAUUGACGGUACCGGAAUAGAAAGCCACGGCUAACUACGUGCCAGCAGCCGCGGUAAUACGUAGGUGGCAAGCGUUGUCCGGAAUUAUUGGGCGUAAAGCGCGCGCAGGCGGAUCAGUUAGUCUGUCUUAAAAGUUCGGGGCUUAACCCCGUGAUGGGAUGGAAACUGCUGAUCUAGAGUAUCGGAGAGGAAAGUGGAAUUCCUAGUGUAGCGGUGAAAUGCGUAGAUAUUAGGAAGAACACCAGUGGCGAAGGCGACUUUCUGGACGAAAACUGACGCUGAGGCGCGAAAGCCAG